UACGUAGGGGGCAAGCGUUGUCCGGAAUUCUUGGGCGUAAAGAGCUCGUAGGCGGUUUGUCGCGUCGGCCGUGAAAACUUGGGGCUUAACUCCAAGCUUGCGGUCGAUACGGGCAGACUUGAGUUCGGCAGGGGAGACUGGAAUUCCUGGUGUAGCGGUGAAAUGCGCAGAUAUCCGGAGGAACACCGGUGGCGAAGGCGGCUUCCUGGACCGACACUGACGCUGAGGCGCGAAAGCGUGGGGAGCGAACAGG
rnacentral:rRNA from 1 species